AUGUUUACCUUAAAUAAAACAGCAGGCAUUAUGCUCCCAUAUAUACUUUUUUUUUUUUUUUUGGUAUGUCUGAAAUCAGUCACAUUUAAGGGGAAAUUAAGCCACCAUGGACUCACAGCCUUGGAAACGUCACCUGACUUCUGCAAGCCUCAUUUUCUCUGUGAACGAGGGGAACAACUUCCCUCAUGGAAUCCACAUGGAGUAAAACUUGUGAAUGGACGAGCGCAGUGGCUGCCAGCCAGUUGGAUGAAGUCCUGCCACCUGCCUCCUGAUAGUGCUGUGACUUGGACCACUUGUGUGACAUCUCUUGAAAACCAGCUUCUUCUUCAGAAAAAUGGGAGUAGUGAGAAUAGGAGAAUGUGGGUGACUCGGCACCAGGCCUGGCACACAGUAAGUGCUCAAUAAAUGGCACAGGGGCUGCUGAGUUUCAGACUUAAGUCUCUCCACCUCCAGCACCUGUGUCUGGAUGAAAGCUCCUUCUUGUUGUGGUGGGCAGGUAAAUACGUUUGUUCCUCCCUCCCUCCCCCUUUCCCUCCCUUGCUCUCUUUGCAGUUGAGGAUGGGGGAAGAGACAAAAUAAUUCCCGCAUAAUAUUUGUCUAAAAGGAAUGUGUAAGAUAAAAUAGUGUGUGUGAGGCCUGUCUUUUUUUUUUUUUUAAUAGCCCCCAUAGCACCUGGCAUAGGUGGGCGCCACAGGAUCUAUGAUGAUUGAUAGGAGUGUUUUUCAAAUUCAGCUGUCAAAGACAGGGCAAUCAUCCUGCCUCCUGCCUGGAAAGUGAUUUACAAUUUUCCUCCUUGGUGGCAUCCUAAGGCAAACAGGCACUUUUGUUUCCAUGGAGAACCCACUCUUCCCUCCAAGGUAGAUGGUCCUCCCCACCUCGCUCCUUCUCUCCCUCUCCCCUUUCCUUCCUCCUCCCUCUCUCCCUUCCUAUUCCCUAUCUCCUUUCUCUCGCUCUCUCCUGCUUUACUCCUCAGUUUCUCCAGCCUUUUCCUCCUCCCAUGGAGGCUUCCACCCCAGGAGGGCCAAACGCUACCCUUCAGCUUUGUCCCCAGGAAGGGCCAUGCUCGUCCCUCCUUCCUGCCCCUGUGGAGAGGUGAGACCCUCUGGGGACUUAGAAUUUUCACCCUAACUCUUUGGACUGUUUUCUUCUUAAGAACUUGUUUUCUCACGGAGCUCAGAGCUCUUUGAGAACCAUCUGCGCAGGACCCAGGAACCAUCUACCUGGGUCCCCAGGCCAGGCCCCGGGAGGCUGCAUGGUGGUCUUGGCUCCAGUCCAGGGGCCAAGUGCAGGUGUUUGUGCCACCUCAUCUGUCAGUUUCUUCACCGGCAGAGUGAGAGCAACUCUCCCAGCAGCUGCCAUGAGAAAGAGCUGGGGGCCAGGGGCCAGAGAGCUUCCUUUCUGCAGG
rnacentral:lncRNA from 1 species